AUGCCAUGGCGUGAGCACUGCAUUUCUCCUCCUCUGUCCACUAUCUUUGCGCGAGCACUCCAAGUAGUUCGCCAAAGAGGUCGCUCGCCCCUCGGUGCUCAUCAUGUCGAACACGGUGUCACGGUCACUUCCCUAGGCUUCCCACGGUCCGACAUGACGAUGCCAUGGCGUCAGGUGCGGUCAUCCGAGAUCCCCUAUGCUUCAAAAGCCUUCGGCCCAGUUCUUUUGGCUGAUUCUCCCAUAAUAUUGAGAAUCGACCCUCCACCCAGCUUCUCCCAAAAUCUUGAACCCAUAUAUUUUUUACAAUCCUAG
rnacentral:rRNA from 1 species